AGGCGUCCUAGUGGAGUGUUUACCUUCGUAACAGCGACAACUUUACUGUACCGUAAUGUUAGUUCCUUUUCGCGAGAGUUGGCACGAAUGAUUUGUUUUUAUUGUUUUCCUCCUAAAAGCGUGCGAGUUCCUUCCUUCUCGAGGAGAAGACACGUAACGUGUACACGCGGGUGCAGUUAUAGCUAAAGGACGCGCGAUAAAAUGUGUGUUGAAAGUCAUCGGGGCUUUGUACUCUUUUAUCUCAAUAAAAUCCAGCAGUCCGAACUGAGUGAGAGAAAUGUUUUGAAGAUAGAGACAGAGAGUAGAACAAAGGAAUGUGAACGUACAGGUGGAAGAAUGGGCCGACCUGGAAAAUGUUUAUUAAAAUAAUAUAUUACUUCGUUUGAGCGGAUGUUAUCUCGAAAUAUAAUUAUGCGUUCGUUUGUCUGAAUAAGGAAGUGAUUCUCCAUCGAAUUAUUUUAUCAUUUAGCUAUCAAAUAAACGAAUCUUUCGUUUAAUCGAUACGCAACAAAAUUAAUAUCAGAAAUAACAGAGUGGUAACAUUUUAUGGAUUUAUAAUAUCUGCAUUUUUAUCGAUUUCAAGGGCUUUUUUAUACGGAUAAAAACUUCUAUUGUGUUUUCCUCGUGUAGAUUUCAAAAUCUUAGAGAAGCUUUCAAACAGAUGGGUGCUGAUCUUUCGUAAUCUUUUUCUAAGCUCUUAUACACAGCAACCGACGAACGUUGUAAACGAUUCUUCCGUAAUAAAGAACAUCAACCACGGACUACAAGUGUUGUUUUAUUCUAUGCAAUUAAAUUGGCCCCAACGUCAUUAAGCUACCGCUGCAGGCAUAGCGCAAGAGCGCUAGUUACGCACGCACAGAUUGACACAUUCGUUAGCAAAUAUACGGUCAAAAACAAGAUAAAAAUACAUACACAUACACAUACAUAUAUAUGUAUAUAGGAUCCGGCCGAAUAACACGCAGAAGGGUGCAUGACGUGAUUUCUUAUGGAAAAGUAAGCAUGGAAUAGAAUUUUAAUUGACAAUAGAAGGCUUAGUUUUCGAAAAAAUUGAGUUUGAAAAGUAUACUUGAACAUGGCUAAUUACCGUAAACUGGAUACAAGUAAACAAUCAAUAUGGCGUUGUUGUGGAAGCGGAAGAGUCACGUUCUGCACGCUUUUACAUGUUAUUCGGCAGGAUCCUGUAUAUAACAUGUAAUAAUAAAGCUACUAGAUGAUGUUCUGGAUGCUUGGAAAAGUAUUCAAGAAUUUUGGGGAGAUUUUUUAAAACACAAAAACGUAAAAAAGCACCGCAUGGACUUAAACGAACCAGUAUGCAGACGGAAGAUUAAACGCUAGAGAAUAUAAUAUGCAGAGGCUUAAUAACGAAAUAAACAAUCAAUCAGCGAUUAAGGAAGAACCAUCGAUCAAUAAUUUUUCAGUAAUUGUCUGUCUGACUGUCGUUGCGUGUAACCUGGAAACGUCAGAUAUGACAAGCAGCCGAUGCACGGUAUAAUAUCCAUCACACGGCCGCACGCAUGAAACAAAAAGAGAAGAGAAUAAGAAAUACUAAAAAAAAAAAAAAAAAAAAAAUUCCAGAAAUACUAGAAAAAUCAAUUAAACCUCGAUUGAAAUCAUGUCAUUACGAUAUGACUUGACUGGUUCCUCUGGAAACAGCCGCAUAUUUAAUAUUUUAGAUUUCUCUCAAAAAUUAUAAAAUUAUUAUAAACAAUAGAUCAUAACUUUUCAAUCGAUGUGCCGUUUAUAUAGUAAUCAAUUAUGGAACGUAAUUUCCCGAGGAACGAAAAGUUUUUGGUCGCUUAGCUUUCAAAGUUCCACAGCGUUGUUUUCGGUAGAAGGAAACAACACUGUAAUUUUGUGUUGCAGCGCGGCAGUCGACCGGACAAAGUAUACGCGAUGAAAGUAUAGUUAGAGAAAAGAGGCAGCUUUUGCUGGACAUUAAAAAGGAAUUUCUUCCCUGGGCUCUUUAAAGAGAAUUCCUUUGUGCAAAGUUUUAAGUAUUUUCUCUGAGCUCAAAGAACUUCUUUAACAACCUCAAACAAACUUUUUACAACUUUAUUCGCCGUGCCUAACUAUGUUCUGUUUAAAUACGAUAUUUGAUUGGCGAUCGUCUAAAUAAUAUAGUCUGUCAAUUUUCAAUCAAUAUUUUAGCACUAACCAUACCAGGCCCGGUCAAAUGACCAGUUUUGAAAUUUAAUUAAAAAUUGUACAUUCAUCGUUACCUCCUUUGUUCAUCCAACUUUAUGUAAAUUCUGAUAUUAACAAAAAUUGAGGAAUUGAUUAAUCAGACAAUUUACACAAUUAAGGUUAAACGGACAAAAGAAAUAACGAUGAAUGUACAAUUUUAAAUUAAAUUUUGAAAUCAGCCAGAUUAACCGAGUCAGGUAUAGACAGUGUUAAAAACACGUUCCAUUAUAUGAACGUUCUGUUCGCUGAAUGUUACGAUUAUUAUGCGUAAGCAUUGUAAACAAGUGCAGAAUGUUCACAUACUUCCGUAGUAUUUCUACUAACCACGGACAUAAUUACGAACCAAGAUGUAAUUAGAAUUCAUAAAAAGUCAAGUUUAGGAGAGUGCAGUAACAUGGUAGGAAAUGCUUGG